rfam:Camelus ferus unplaced genomic scaffold scaffold513, whole genome shotgun sequence.
GAGGGUAUAGCUCAGUGGUAGAGCGCAUGCUUAGUGUGCACGAAGUCCUGGGGUCAAUCCCCAGUACCUCCA